AACGGCUAUACCAAGCUGAAUAUAUCAGGCUCUCGUUAGAUCACCGAAGUCAAGCAUCAUUGGGCGCUUCAGUACUUGGGUGGGUGACCACCUGGGAACACCGCG
rnacentral:rRNA from 1 species